rnacentral:lncRNA from 1 species
AACAGAACAACCCAACUCUUUCAGAGUCUACAAGUACUUUCUGAGGAAUAACAUUUCCAGAUUUCUGCUAAACAUGAUGCAUGUUAAAAGCAGUGCAAAAAAAAAAAAAUGCAGAAGGACACCUUGAAAGCUGUCAUUCAGGGAAAUCCUCACAAGGGGUGUGAAGAAAUGCCCUUUAACUCUUGAGAUAAUUGAUGUCAUCUGGGUAAAUGUAAUUGUAAUAGAAAUACAUGUGCAUAUAUUUAGAUAGAACUUGACUUACUGGCAACUUUAUUAUCAUGGCAGCUGCAGGCUGGAAUUUAUCACUUUCAUAUGACCAUGCUUAGUACCAAAAACAUCAGAAACUGCUAGAUACCAUGUGUACACUUUUUCUUAAAUUGUUGAUUGACCACAUAGAUCAUUUGAAGAGUAGCUAUUCUCCAAAGCUGAAAAGUUAGUUGUGUAUGGAGGUGGCUUCUUGAAUAGCAUGAGUAAGUGGCACUGUUUUC